rnacentral:sRNA from 1 species
AGUAAUGGUUGUAUGCAAUUUCGACGAAUUUUGAAUGGUUUUGAGAAAUGACUAUACAACCCGA